CAAUUUCUAGUGGGUCGUAUU
rnacentral:miRNA from 1 species